AAUUAAAACUAUUAUAAACGAAAAAUACAUAGCCAAUGAGAAAAAAAAUACAUAUAAUUAUGGAAAUAGGGACAGUGAGAGGGACACUGGUAAACUUAUGUACAUUGGCAUAAAUGAUAGAAGUAAUAGUGAUAUUAAUGGAACUAGCAAUAAUUAUAAACAUACAGAAAUGUCAUACAAGGAAAAUAAUAACAUUUUUUAUAAAAAUAGCAAAGUUAUAGACAAAAAUGAUAUAUUUAGGAAAAGAGAAUAUACUAUGAUGAGUGGAAACACAGGUAUAAAUGAGGGUGUGAGUGAUGGAGUAAAAGGAUACAAUGAUAUCGAUAAGGAUGACGAACCUGUUGAAAUGACAGGUUCUCAAGUGUUAAAUGAAAACAGUUGUGAACAUGUAAUUAACAACAAUGUCGAUAAGGAUAAACAUAAUAAUAAUUCACAUAUUGAAAAUACACACUCCUCUUGUGUUGAUAAUAAUAAUAAUAAUAAUAAUAAUACAAACGAAUCGAUUAAAGUUACUUCAGAAAGUGAAGAUAAAGAUGCUGUAGAAUUUAAUAAUCAGUCAGAGAGNNNNNNNNNNAGAAACAAAGAUACGAUUACAAUUAAAACUAUUAUAAACGAAAAAUACAUAGCCAAUGAGAAAAAAAAUACAUAUAAUUAUGGAAAUAGGGACAGUGAGAGGGACACUGGUAAACUUAUGUACAUUGGCAUAAAUGAUAGAAGUAAUAGUGAUAUUAAUGGAACUAGCAAUAAUUAUAAACAUACAGAAAUGUCAUACAAGGAAAAUAAUAACAUUUUUUAUAAAAAUAGCAAAGUUAUAGACAAAAAUGAUAUAUUUAGGAAAAGAGAAUAUACUAUGAUGAGUGGAAACACAGGUAUAAAUGAGGGUGUGAGUGAUGGAGUAAAAGGAUACAAUGAUAUCGAUAAGGAUGACGAACCUGUUGAAAUGACAGGUUCUCAAGUGUUAAAUGAAAACAGUUGUGAACAUGUAAUUAACAACAAUGUCGAUAAGGAUAAACAUAAUAAUAAUUCACAUAUUGAAAAUACACACUCCUCUUGUGUUGAUAAUAAUAAUAAUAAUAAUAAUAAUACAAACGAAUCGAUUAAAGUUACUUCAGAAAGUGAAGAUAAAGAUGCUGUAGAA
rnacentral:lncRNA from 1 species